CUUUCCCGGCUCCUGCCGCUGAUAGAUCGCCGCGUCGGGGGCAUUUAAACGCCGAGCGCUCCGACGGCGCUGCACGGCACGACACCGCGGGGCAGGGCGGCGGCGGCCGCCCCCCGGGGGAACGAGGGGGGGCCUAGCCGGGCUGUCGCCCCGCCGCGACCGGGGUCCCGCCCGUCGGCUGGGAGAGGAAGGCAGGAUUGAUGCGGAGGCUGCGCCGGGCCCGCGGAACCCACCGUCCGUCCCCUCCAGGGGCUGAUUUCUUGGACCACUCAGCACGCGAGAAGUAACCAAGCCCCUUCUCUGUGAGCUCUGAUAUUUUUAAAGAUAUGCUUCCUGAAACAGAUUGCUAGCUGCUAAGCACCAAUUUCUAGACAAACAGGAUUCACACACACCCCCCAAUAAAAAAGCUUUUCGAGUAUGUAACAGACUAGUUUCUGCAGAGACGCUUAUCCUACUGAGUCUCUCUUGUGUUUUCCCUGUAACAGAGAAAGUGCUCGUUCACGCUUUUGUUAUAGCUCAGCAUUUCCAAGCUUUGUAUCCUCACAGAGAUAAGAUGCUACAUUUAUACAUUAAAAGGAAGAGGUCUCCAUCAAAGCUGUGAAUGA